CACAGACACACACACACACACACACCACAUACACACAGACACCACACACAGAACUGAAACAUGCAUUUCAGCUCAAACAGCCAAGGGCAUUGCCGCCUCUCUGAAAGGAGACUGCACUGUCAGGCAGGAUGAAGUUCACUGUUAUCCCAGCGGCCAGCCUCUUCCUGGCACUGGCCACUGGUGCUAUAGAUCCCAACUUCCAGCCCUGCAUGCCUUCAGCCCGCACGGAUGCCUACAACACCUUCCUGCAUAGGCACGUCCAUUCAGUGCCCCCAGAGAGAGAUGAGAUGGACGCCUGGACGGCUUUUUUAAAAAACAACAACUUCUGCAACAGACCGGUCCAGUCGUUCUUCCCUUACGACGACAUGCGUCGAGUCGUCGAUGUGUGCGCGCGCACGGGGGGAAAGAUUCACCUUCGCAAUCUGUGCAUCAGCAAAGGGAACUUCUCCUUCAUUACGCUGACAGUCCAAAAUGAGACGUGUGCCAUAAAACGUAUAGAACGCGAGUCGAAGCACAUAAUUCUCGCCUGUGAAGAAAUCAAAAAUACGUGCCAGCCUGUCCACUACCAGAAAAAUCCUGAAAACUACGCGCCCAAAGACAGCGCUCCCGACUGCCCCGGCGCUGCCUCACACUCGGCGAUAAGAGCAGCAAAGACUUUGGUGUUUUUACUGGUUUUCCUAUGUCCUGCGCUGCUGUAGCUGUGUGCUCACGUUCAUAAAUCUAUUUCUGCUAUGAUCAUUAAACUGCACUGAAAAACGAAGAGAUUGAAUCCAAUGCCUUUUAUAAUGCUAACCGCAUACCCACAAAGGAUCUUGUUGUGGAGUUGGGGACCAAAUAACUAAACCCCACUGAGUGAGAGUAAUUCAGGCCUUUCAGUAAAAUAAAAAAGGAUGAGAUAAUUGUAACUAUUGUUAUUGCUGAAGUUGUGUCAACAUUAAAUACAUAUGUAUGCACAUUACAUGUUCAAAUGUAGGUGAAGUGGGCUGUGCCUUGUUAUUCUGACUCUUUUCACAUCUGUGGACACAGAGGAAGUGUAAGUGAAGGUGCACAAGACCUUCUAAAGCUGUUCCUUUUUGGCUGUUGGAUAUGCUUGGUUUAAGAUUUCUGUCAUUUCAUUGCAUGCUGUUCAUUGGUCAAAUACAUUUUUAUAUUAGUUUUUAUAUUGUGUGUAAUCUGUCAUAUUGGUUUUACGCCUUACUUUAAUUGUUUCUGUUUCUUUUGUGUGGUUUAGCUAGUGAAUGCUUUGCAUGCGUUGAGUGCAGUUAUCAAUCACUUUUUCAUCAAGCACCAUUUUCCUGUGACUGAGAAAUGUUGUCACCAUUCAACUCUGGCACCAUGCCACAGUCAUCAUGCACAUUAAUAAAAUAAAAUUUCUGGGUUUUGCUAUUA